UUCUCUGUGGCUCAGAUAGUAUAGAAUUUGCCUGCAAUGCAGGAGAUGCAGGUUCAAUCCCUGCGUGAGGAA
rnacentral:tRNA from 1 species